UACGUAGGGUGCAAGCGUUGUCCGGAAUUAUUGGGCGUAAAGAGCUUGUAGGCGGUUUGUCGCGUCUGCUGUGAAAUUUCGGGGCUCAACCCCGAACUUGCAGUGGGUACGGGCAGACUAGAGUGUGGUAGGGGAGACUGGAAUUCCUGGUGUAGCGGUGAAAUGCGCAGAUAUCAGGAGGAACACCGAUGGCGAAGGCAGGUCUCUGGGCCAAUACUGACGCUGAGAAGCGAAAGCAUGGGGAGCGAACAGG
rnacentral:rRNA from 1 species